CGAGCGGCGGACGGGUGAGUAACGCGUGGGUAACCUGCCUCAUACAGGGGGAUAACAGUUGGAAACGGCUGCUAAUACCGCAUAAGCGCACAGUACCGCAUGGUACGGUGUGAAAAACUCCGGUGGUAUGAGAUGGACCCGCGUCUGAUUAGGUAGUUGGUGGGGUAACGGCCUACCAAGCCGACGAUCAGUAGCCGACCUGAGAGGGUGACCGGCCACAUUGGGACUGAGACACGGCCCAA
rnacentral:rRNA from 1 species